rnacentral:lncRNA from 1 species
ACGAAGGGUCGUAGUAGUUGUUGAAGUUGUCGAGCCCCACGACGCCGUCUCCGCGUUUUCUAAGCGCGAGUGACACGUGGCUACCGACGAAGCCCGUCGCGCCGGUGACGAGGACGGAGAUGCCGCCGGAGCGGUGGAUCUGAGCGGAGGUUCGGACUUGUUUCUCCCACUGGAUGCCGCCCCAUGAGGCGGUGAGGUAGCGGCUGCCGGAGUCGACGAAGCUCUGGAAACUCAGGUAGGAAGCGGUGAGGGCGAUGAGGAAGAGGGCCCAGAGGAACAUGGUGCUCGUCGAGGCGAAACAGCGGUUUAGCUGUCGGUUUGAACGGUCGAUCUUGAACUUACCGGGCGUUGACGGGAACAUGAGCUCAUCUUCUAUGGAAGGCAUGAUUUAAAACUUCCUAAAUAUUCUCCAGAAAAUUUACGGAAAUGAAAAUAAAAAUGGUGAAUUUAGAAGAGAGAGAGAGAGAGAGAGAGAGAGAGAGAGAGAGAGGACAGAUGCAGAUUUUUUUUGUUUUUGGUUAUUUUUCCAAAAGCAUCUGCUAAGGAGAAGAGGAAGACGCGGAGAAGUAUAUAUACAGAAGACGAAGGGGGACAAGGAGACGCGUUAAUUUUGAGUUUGACAGAUUGGCUUCUGUCUUAACUCCUAAUUAAUUUGUUUACAGGUAAAUAACUAAAAACCCCUAAUAGUUUUAUUUUUAUUAAAUUAAAUAAUUCAACAUCCGGAUUAAAAUUUAUAAUUAGUUAUUUUGAUUUACAGCAUCUAAAUUUUAAAUUUACAAUUAGUUAUUUUGAUUUACUACAUCCAAAUUUAAGAUGUACAAUUAGACAGUUUAAUUUACAGCACCUUCCAACACUUCUUCAUUUUAUAUAAGCAUUCGCAAAUUUGGCCAAUAACUCAUCAGUUUCACUCAUUCAACAAUUAUCACAUGUUAUCUAAUCCCUAAUCAACAUUGUUUAAAGAUAUUGAAAACCAGAACGUGCGACCGACUUACAACUAAUAUUGCCUAAACUUAAAAAGAUCAAAUGCUUAGGUCAACGUGUGUAGUUUGUUUUUGGGUCAUCUGAUACAUCAUAGUUCGGUUUGCAAGGCGUGGUAUGUGCAUAAAAGUAUAUAUUAUCUUUAAUCCAAAAUUCGCAUAUUGGCAACAACAAAAAAAAGCUGUAAUCAGUCACUAAUAGUUACAAUUGAAUAAACGUAUCAAAAUCGUAUAUGGUUAGAAAAACUAAUACUCCUUAAGUUGUAAAUCUUGUGAUAUGUGAAUAGUUGAUGCAUUGAGAACAGUGUGCCUUCGAAUUCCGGAUCGCCAAAGAACAGAAUAAAAAGUUAUUUUGAUAUAUGUAAUUACACAAUUAGCAAAUUAAUCUCGUAGUACUACUGAUUAGUGCUCUUUAUAUGAUUUUGUCGACUGGUCAUGGCCCGCAUCGAGUCAGAUUUCAGCAGAAAAGAUUUGUUAUCCAACUUUUAAUUACAAAAUGUCUAAAUAAUUUGUGUGAGUAAAUAAUUUUACUUUUCUCAAACAAGAUAAAGCAGAGAGAGGACGUGCGGACCAGACCACAGCAUUCACCAUUGGCUGUUUUGGGAAAGCAAUGAGAAUAUAAUUUGAUAGUUAAUAAAAAUUAGAUUAAAUAUUUAACUGUUUUGGUUUAUGGGAUUUUUAAAACAUCUAAUUCGAAACAUAGGGAAUAUAGUUUUUAUCAUUGAGAAACAUCUAAACAUGUCAUCAAAUAUAUGUUUGAAAUUCGAUGAUAUUGCAUAUUUCGUGUUUUUUUAAAAUUAUUUAUUUUGGGUAUAUUUCUUCUUUACUUCAAUGUUCCUUCAUUUUUAAAAGAAUUAAUUUUACUUUCAAAAGAUAAGACAUUAUUUAUACAAUGUCAAAGACUGAUUCAUACAGUAUAUCUUGUAAUAGAAAAUGUUUAUAUUCGAUCAUUAUAUUAUGUUGUACGGAUUUUAUUAAAUUUUGACGGUGUGGGUUAGAAAAUGUUUAUAUAUUUUUUUUUUUUUGAAAAAGAAAAUGUUUAUAUUCGAUCAUUAUACUUCUUCUUUUGAUCUUUUGAACAUCUUUAAAAAUGGAUUAUUUAUUUCAAAGUUCAAACACAUCAACGGAAUCGGACUAUCUCCGAAAAUAGGUUCAUACUCUUUUUUUUUUUAAUGCCGCCGGAGCGGUGGAUCUGAGCGGAGGUUCGGACUUGUUUCUCCCACUGGAUGCCGCCCCAGGAGGCGGUGAGGUAGCGGCUGCCGGAGUCGACGAAGCUCUGGAAGCUAAGGUAGGAGGCGGUGAGGGCGAUGAGGAAGAGGGCCCAGAGGAACAUGGUGCUUGUUGACGCGAAACAGCGGUUUAGCUGUCGGUUUGAACGGUCGAUCUUGAACUUACCAGGCGUUGACGGGAACAUGAGCUCAUCUUCUAUGGAAGGC